AAAGUGACAAAAUAGCAAUAUUUUCAAGAAACAACUUUUUAAAUUCUAAUUUAAUAGAAGUCAAGUUAUGGUCUGAGAGAUAACUUAAAAAUGGUAAGUUAUUUAGGAACAAGAUAAAAGGCAAAACACCAAACUUCAUACAAACUUAAAUGUUUGACAUUUAAAAAUUAAAGAGAUUUUUUUUUAACGUGUAUUUGAGACAAAUAAGCCAACCUUGGUACAUAACCGCUGAAAACUAAAAAACCGUACCCUAAACCAACACAGGUGGAUAGGUCGAGUAGACUAAGGUGUAUGAGAUAAUUAUGUUGAAGGAACUCGGCAAAAUGACUCUGUAACUUCGGGAGAAAGAGUACCUUUUUAUUUAAGUGUUUAUCGACGAAAUAAUAAGAAG
rnacentral:rRNA from 1 species